rnacentral:rRNA from 1 species
GAUGAACGCUGACAGAAUGCUUAACACAUGCAAGUCUUUGGCGAAGCUGUGCUUGCACCGCCUAGCCAAGGCGGACGGGUGAGUAACGCGUAAGGAACUUGCCCUGCAGUCAGGGAUAACAGACGGAAACGACUGAUAAGACCUGGUAAAGUCAGGCGGACUCAUGUCCAGCCUGAUGAAAAGAGAUGCUGCAGGAGAGCCUUGCGUCCUAUUAGCUUGUUGGUGGGGUAACGGCCCACCAAGGCGGUGAUAGGUAGCCGGCCUGAGAGGGUGGACGGCCACAAGGGGACCGGGAUACGGCCCUUACUCCUACGGGAGGCAGCAGGGGGGAAUAUUGGACAAUGGGGGCAACCCUGAUCCAGCAAUUCUGUGUGCACGAUGAAGGUUUUCGGAUUGUAAAGUGCUUUCAGCAGGGAAGAAAAAAAUGACGGUACCUGCAGAAGAAGCGACGGCUAAAUACGUG